UGCAAAGAAAGGGGAGAGUGAGCCCCCGGCGACCCUCCGCCCACAGCUGCCCGCCACACUGAACAAGACGCACGAGUGACCGGGAUUUGGCCCCCGGGCCAAAAUGGCCCAAUCCAUGCAUUCAUUUUAGUAAAUAGGUGUGUGUGGUCUCGGUGCUCAUCUCCUUGCACUGACCCCUGAGCCUGUGGUGGAUGGGAGCCCGUCACCCUGGGCCAGUGUGACAUCCAGGGUACUACAGGUUACCUUCCCCAGGUUUCCCACGCGGUGCAGUGGCUACCAUCCCUAGCUACACAUCUGCCGGCCUAGGUGCUGCCCAUCCAGCUGUUUGUCAAAUGGGUACCUCAGGAAAACUGGGAAAGGUAAACUGGUAAUGUAGGUGUUGGUCCUGUGUCCUGGGGCGAUGGGUUUUCCUGCCACAGGCACAGAGACCACACACACAUAACAUGUGCCACAAAUUUUACCUUUAAACAUUCCAUCAGGCUAAAGUUAUCUGCUGCCUCUGUACUCCAUCCAGUCUCACUCUUAGAGAUUUUUGUAAAACAUUCCUUGUCACGGUGCAGUACUCUAUAAAUAUUUAUACAGAGCCUCAAUAAACUCCCUGCAGCAGACA